rnacentral:rRNA from 1 species
UACAGAGGUCCCAAGCGUUGUUCGGAUUCACUGGGCGUAAAGGGUGCGCAGGUGGGUUUGCAAGUUCGAUGUGAAAGCCCCGGGCUUAACCCGGGAAUGGCAUUGGAUACUGCAGAUCUGGAGGAUCGGAGGGGGGACUGGAAUUCUUGGUGUAGCAGUGAAAUGCGUAGAUAUCAGGAGGAACACCUGUGGUGUAGACAGCUUUCUGGACCAUUGCUGACGCUGAGACACGAAAGCGUGGGUAGCAAACAGG